rnacentral:tRNA from 1 species
UUUAACCUAGUUUAAAUUAUGAAAACGGGAGCUUGUCAGGUUUCAGAUACAAUUUACUUUGUGGUUAAAU